rnacentral:rRNA from 1 species
UGGGGAAUAUUGGACAAUGGGGGGAACCCUGAUCCAGCCAUGCCGCGUGUGUGAAGAAGGCCUUAUGGUUGUAAAGCACUUUAAGCGAGGAGGAGGGUACUGGUAUUAAUACUACCAGGUACUGGACGUUACUCGCAGAAUAAGCACCGGCUAACUCUGUGCCAGCAGCCGCGGUAAUACAGAGGGUGCGAGCGUUAAUCGGAUUUACUGGGCGUAAAGCGUGCGUAGGCGGCUAAUUGAGUCGGAUGUGAAAUCCCCGAGCUUAACUUGGGAAUUGCAGUCGAUACUGGUUAGCUAGAGUGUGGGAGAGGAUGGUAGAAUUCAUGGUGUAGCGGUGAAAUGCGUAGAGAUCUGGAGGAAUACCGAUGGCGAAGGCAGCCAUCUGGCCUAACACUGACGCUGAGGUACGAAAGCAUGGGGAGCAAACAGG